AUUGAACGCUGGCGGCAGGCCUAACACAUGCAAGUAGAACGAGUGGCGGACGGGUGAGUAAUGUCUGGGAAACUGCCCGAUGGAGGGGGAUAACUCCUGGAAACGGUAGCUAAUACCGCAUACAAUCGGAUGUGCCCAGAUGGGAUUAGCUUGUAGGUGAGGUAACGGCUCACCUAGGCGACGCGCCCUAGCUGGUCUGAAAGGAUGAACAGCCACACUGUAACUGAGACACUGUCCAGACUCCGAAGGGAGGCAGCAGUGGGGAAUAUUGAACAAUGGGCGCAAGCCUGAUGCAGCCAUGCCGCGUGUAUGAAGAAGGCGUUUGGUUUGUAAAGUACUAUCAGCGGGGAGGCGUUACCCGCAGAAGAAGCACCGGCUAACUCCGUGCCAGCAGCCGCGGUAAUUC
rnacentral:rRNA from 1 species